GGCCGCCGGCUGCCUCCCGGCCCUGUGCCUCCGCGCCCUCGCCUUGACGCGAAGAAGGACGCGGGCCCCACCUCACGGGUCCCUCAGACACCCCCGGACCGACCUGUGUCCGGCGGUUGGCGCCUGGGUCUGGAACGCCGGGCCUAAGCCGUGGCCCGCGGUGCUUUCCGGCGGAGCGGUCUUGGUCUGUGAGGCACAGCUGGUUUGGGGGUGAGGACUUCGCAGUCGCUGUCAGCUCUUACCUCUUAAACUGCCUAGUGUAAAUGUCUGCCUAGAACGGAGGAUUUCUGUGCAAUCUGCAUACCUUAGAGCUGAAGAAGCUGGCACCCUGGAAGCCCCGGUGGGCACAGAAGGAAGCCUGCGCUCUCUAGCCAGAGAGGUGAGGACUUGCAGCCAAGGACUCCUUUCAGCUCUGGCUCUGCUGCUGACGAACUGGUGCGCUCCAGCUCCCCCUCAGCCUCGGACUCCAUGCUGGAGAGGAAAGGAACAGACACACCAUCACAGGGGCUCCAGUGGGGACUCUGGUGAGUCACUCUUCGAAGUCAGCAGCUGUGACAAUGGGCUACAGAGAGCUGGCUGGAGGGGAGCAGUGUUCAUGCAGUCCUGGCAGGAGGUGACACUGGUGCAAUCCAAAAACCAAAAAAAGACAAUGGAUGAAGUAUCCCAAAAGGGAUAAGGCAGCUGCUUGCAAGCCAGGAAGGCCUUCACCAGGUGACUGCUGGCCUUGACCAGGGUGUCCACCUCCAGGAGACAGCAAGAUUGUGUGCCCCUCGGAGCCCAGUCUGCAUCGCUCAGCCUGCAGUCUCAGUGGGGACAUGGGUGAUGUCUUGUAUUGCCAUCUCAAUGGCAGAAAAAUGCUAAAAGUCAUAAAUGAAGACAGAAACUCUUAAAUAUGGUCAGCUAAGGCUGCUUUACACAUCAAAUACUGACCUGACAAACACCAUCGGAGAAAACUGAAGAUUUGUGAAGACAUGCACCUGUGCACACGGCGCCCGGGGCUGUCCUCGUGCUGCAGACGCCGUGCAUCUGUGCAGGUACGUGUCAAGUGCAGCUGACGCAGAGGCCAUUACCCUGGGAUACUUCACCCUAUUGGAAAAGCACUUUUUGGAAAGAGAUGGAAAUACAGUUUGAAACAAAAUGCAAUAUUCUACAAAUACGAUAAACUCACACAUCUGGACAACUCUGAGGAAAGCUGCGUCAACCCUGCCACUCUAAUGCUCAGGUGUGACCCCACGGCCAUGGCUGGAAGACAGCUACUUUGAAGGAAAUAAAUAUCUGUAUUAAAAGGAAAUGGCACCUUAAAAAAUGCAAUGAAAGCUUUGAAAAGAGUUCUAAUGUAUGAGGCUACCUAUGUUUUCGUUUUUUUAAGUUGUAGAAAUUUUUAAAAAUUUUGAAUUUUCAAAGUAACCCCCCAAUUUUUAAGCCAUUUUAAAAUAAGAUUUUUUUCCAUAUUAUCAAGUUUCCUGUUUGAAAGUGUAAUAGAAAAAUGGGCAGUUUCUAAUGUCAACAAAUGGUGAUAAUUAUAAAUCAUUACAAAUUCAUGAUCAAGUAAUUGGAAAUUGGUUAUGACGAGGAUGACAGACACAGAAUUGGCAAACACAAAUAGGAGGCCUCUUCUCGACCACUCAUCUGGACUAGUAACAAACACCCACACGGGUGACUUUUUACAUUAAAUUACUUCUAGAUUUCAAGAGAUAAGAAAAAUCCAACUUUUCUUUAAAAAUGGUUUCCUGGGUUGUGACAUGUGCUUUAUCUGUAAUCUACCUACGAGCUCAGGUUACCUCUGCACCAUAAACUCCAACUCUGACAAGGAGUGUCCAUCUGGCCCGCUAGGUUUGUGUUUGCCUUCUGCAGACAAGCGUGCGUCCGCUGUUCCAAGGCCCCCUCUUCCCUGAGGCCCGAGGCUGCCAUUCCCCACUCUGCUGCAUGGGUAAUGGGGAGAGACAGGUGGACCGCAGGUGCUCUGGGAGGCUGUGGCAGUCUGGCCUCCAUACUGUGGCCACUCCACUGCAGACAGUGGGGCAGGGGCAGCUGCUCUGAAGGAAACGGGCCGUUCUGUGGGAAACACCUUUGAUUUCCAGGGGCUUAUCACAAAGAGGUGCAGCGGUUUCCCACAGCUUCCUCCAGGGCUGCCUAGUGCCGAGGCAGCCUGCAAAGAUGCCCACCGCCAGCCCAGGGGCGGAGGCCGGGAGGGCAAAAUGAAGAUGUGUAUCUGGGAACUACAUUGUCCUGCACUUUGGGAACAAAAGAUGCUGCCUCUGUCCAGAGUUGAUAGUAUCAGAAAGAACAUGGCUGUGUCCAACCUCUCCACAUGCAGGUCACAUG